UUAUUAUGAUGAUUUUUUUCAUUUAACCUGAAAGUCUCUGUUGACAUAAAAAACGAGCUUUUUAAUACUGACUUUU